CUGACUCUGCAGCCCUGACUGGUACAGAAGAGUUAUGGCAACUGCAGGUUUAUUUGCAAAUGGCAAAUAAACCAAAAUAAUAACUUUUUUUGUUAUGGAGACGUAGGGUACGCUAUCCAUUAGUGCACACUAAAAAAUUUGGAAUAUUACAUUUGACGUAAUCGUGGAUUAAACGUAAGAUUAUAUCAUGUAAUCUUAUUUUCGAUGUAAAGUUAGGUGUACUUUGACGUAAAAUGAUGAAAUUCCCACUGGUUUUCAUUUGCAUCGUGCGUGAUCUAAAAUUACAUCACAAAUAACCUAAUUUUAUGUUAAAUCUGAUGCACAUGUCUGGAGCAUCAAAUUUGAUGUAAUUUUACAUCAAAUAAAACCCGAUUUCACGCACUUUAGCCACUACACCUUUGUUUGAUUUGUGAAACGUCAAAACGUCAGCCAGCUUUCACGUCGCAGCGAACCACAUUUUUCGUUUAGAAAAUCGUUGAAGAAAAUCAAUGUUUUUGUACUGCUGACCAGAACCUGCUACCAUUUUGGAUAAAAACGGUAAAAUUUCCGACAGAGGUUACGGACAUCAUGGAACGCGAGGAAAAAAAUGCUGGCUGGAAAUUUUCUGGGAGUUUUUCCACAAUUAAAAAUGCUCUUGAAGUAAACAAAAACGCAGUGUCCUAGAACCUCGCUGUUCCUCCUCGGAUGUUUCCUCUAGUGGAGUGGCCAACACGGUAUAAAUUGUAUGCCGGAAGAUUACUGGUGGAAAAGAAGCCAAUAAAGAGCCAAAUAAUUGAAAAAAAAAACAAGAAAAACAGUGAUAAGAGUGUUUGAAAAAGUGUGAUUAAUUGUGUGAAUUGUGUACAAUAAAAACAUUUUGAUUUUAGAAAA